CGGUUGAUCCUGCCGGACCCGACUGCUAUCGGAGUGGGACUAAGCCAUGCGAGUCGUACGUCCCGGGCUGGCGGGACGUGGCGUACGGCUCAGUAGCACGUGGCCAACCUACCCUGCGGACGGCUAUAACCCCGGGAAACUGGGGCUAAUAGCCGAUAGGGGAUAGGCGCUGGAAAGCCCUAUCCCCGAAAAGGCUACACACCCAUGCCGUGUGUAGCCGCCGCAGGAUGGGGCUGCGCCCUAUCAGGUAGUAGGUGGGGUAACGGCCCACCUAGCCUAUAACGGGUGCGGGCCCUGGGAGGGGGAGCCCGGAGAUGGGCACUGAGACAAGGGCCCAGGCCCUACGGGGCGCAGCAGGCGCGAAACCUCCGCUAUGCGCGAAAGCGCGACGGGGCCACUCCGAGUGCCGCCCGCUGAGGGCGGCUUUUGCCCAGUCCAAAAGGCUGGGCGAAUAAGGGGAGGGCAAGAUUGGUGUCAGCCGCCGCGGUAAUACCAACUCCCCGAGUGGUCGGGACGAUUAUUGGGCUUAAAGCGUCCGUAGCCGGUCGGGUGUGUCGUCGGUUAAAUCCGACGUCUCAAGCGUCGGACUGCCGGCGAUACUACCCGGCUAGGGAGCGGGAGAGGCGGCCGGUAUUCCCGGGGUAGGGGUAAAAUCCUCAGAUCCCGGGAGGACCAUCGGUGGCGAAGGCGGGCCGCUAGAACGCGUCCGACGGUGAGGGACGAAAGCUGGGGGAGCGAUCCGGAUUAGAUACCCGGGUAGUCCCAGCUGUAAACGAUGCAGGCUAGGUGUGCGGCCACCUUAGGGGUGGCCGUGUGCCGAAGGGAAACCGUUAAGCCUGCCGCCUGGGGAGUACGGCCGCAAGGCUGAAACUUAAAGGAAUUGGCGGGGGAGCAC
rnacentral:rRNA from 1 species